UACGUAGGGGGCAAGCGUUGUCCGGAUUCAUUGGGCGUAAAGAGCGUGUAGGCGGCCAGGUAGGUCGGUUGUGAAAACUGGAGGCUCAACCUUCAGAGGUCGACCGAAACCAUCUGGCUAGAGUCCGGGAGAGGAGAGUGGAAUUCCGCGUGUAGCAGUGAAAUGCGUAGAUAUGCGGAGGAACACCGAUGGCGAAGGCAAUCCCUGGGCCUGUACUGACGCUCAUGCACGAAAGCGUGGGGAGCAAACAGG
rnacentral:rRNA from 1 species